UUAAGAAUGAAAUUGAAAAUAAUUUUGAGAAAAAUGGAUGAAAAUUUAUGUUCGGAUGGUGUUUUGAAAGAAAAAUCGAAAACUGGAAGUCAGAACGUAAUUAAGAAAAAUUCUGCCAUGUAGGACUACUCAGUCAGUAGCAUCGACGAACCAGAGCGGGCUGCGUGGUAAGGCACACUGACUCGGUGCCACGCGGGAGGCCAAGCUAGUGAUCCGCAUGCCCCACAAAUCAAAAGGCCCAAAAGCGUUCCUUCAUGCGUGGACGGUCCGGAUCCAUUCCCUCCUCAGGCGCGAUCGGACGAUCACGAUUAAAUGCGAUGAACGGUCCUGAUUCGUUCUCUCUUUAAACGGAAUCGAAUGGUUGAGAUCAAAUCACGAUCAACGGUUUAGAUCAUUUUCUCUUUAAACACGAUCGAACGAUCAAGAUCAAACACGAUGAACGACCCAGAUUAACGCGAGACGAAUAUAAAUAUUUCACAUCACACCAAACCCAAAUCCUAGCCGCCAGCCUCCUGCCGAAGAAGAAAAAUCAGUCGUCGGAGAAGGGAGUCGACCGUUGCCCGCCACUGCACCGGAGCCACCUCCGACCACCAAAAAAUGUAAAAAUUAUUUUAUUCGCUCGAAAUUUGAUUCUGAACACCUUCAUGACUAAAUCGGAGCAAAAAGAAUGGCGGGUGAGUGAAAAAUUAUGGGCAAAACCUGCAACCUCCUCCAAUGAGUCCCUUCUCAUUUUUUAUUUCGUGCGAUUUUUUCACCAUUGUGUUUGUCGUUCUAUUUUCUACAAGUUGACUGAAAAAAAACACUCAACCGCGAAGGUGAGUCCGCGAAGCCGUCGUACUGAAAAAUCUUACCACCGGU
rnacentral:lncRNA from 1 species